GCUAAUGCAGUGAGGAAAGAUUAUAUGGACUAGAGUUUCUGAUUCAAAAAGAGUUGAAGAACAACCCUUGGCUGUCUGAGCAUUAGC
rnacentral:snoRNA from 1 species